rnacentral:tRNA from 10 species
GCCCCCGUAGCUCAGUGGAUAGAGCAGCGGCCUUCUAAUCCGCUUGUCGUAGGUUCGAUUCCUACCGGGGGCACCA